GCCGUCGUGGUGUAGAUUGGGAGCAUAGGAGGCUGUGGACCUCUCGGUCGUGGGUUCGAGUCCCACCGACGGCC
rnacentral:tRNA from 1 species